rnacentral:rRNA from 1 species
GGGCUAAACCAUGCACCGAAGCUGCGGCCGCGACACUAUGUGUUGGUGGGGAGGGGAGCGUUCUGUAAGCCUGCGAAGGUGGCCUGUGAGGGUUGCUGGAGGUCUCAGAAGUGCGAAUGCUGACAUAAGUCACGAUAAAGCGGGUGAACAGCCCGCUCGCCGGAAGACCCAGGGUUCCUGUCCACCGGUACUCGGGGCAGGGUGAGUCGACCCCUAAGGCGAGGCCGAACGGCGGCGUCGAUGGGAACCAGGUGCCUAUUCCUGUCCUUGG